UACGGGGGGUGCGAGCGUUGUCCGGAAUCACUGGGCGUAAAGGGCGCGUAGGUGGCCUGAUAAGGGUGUGGUGAAAGUCCGGGGCUCAACCCCGGAUCUGCCGUGCCGACUGUUAGGCUGGAGUACUGUAGGGGCAGGCGGAAUUCCGGGUGUAGCGGUGGAAUGCGUAGAGAUCCGGAGGAAGACCGGUGGCGAAGGCGGCCUGCUGGGCAAUUACUGACACUGAGGCGCGACAGCGUGGGGAGCGAACAGG
rnacentral:rRNA from 1 species